UUCAUUCGAUGGGGGGAGAGGUAGAGGGGAGAUGGGCGGUACCAUGUGGGAGAGGAGGUAGACUGACUGGCGGACAAUGGAGCCUGUGUGUGUUUGUGGGAAGGGAGCGAAUUCACCCUCGCCGGGGAGAGUCACAGCGCCGCCCCCUCCUGCCCGGGGGUGAGGGGUGCCCCUGGCCGGGCCAGGCCAGGCCACCUCCGCCCUUGUUCAGAAGAGCAGUGAGUGUGAGAAAGAGAAAGAGAGGAGGCUCUGCAUGGUGCCAGCUCCCCUGGAAACUGCGGGCCAUGGGAGACUACUGAAUUCUGGAGUUUGUCAGAUGAACUGUCUAAAGAAACCCAGAACUGAUGCUGUAACUUGUCUAAUACUCUGAUGAUGAUAAUCUUUAUAUGUGUGCAGAGGGAUUCUGAACCCUUCUCCUGGUUGAUCAGCACAAUGUCGUGACACUGGAGUUUUGUGUGCCCUGGAGAUGAGAG